CCUACGGGAGGCAGCAGUGGGGAAUAUUGGGCAAUGGAGGAAACUCUGACCCAGCAACGCCGCGUGAAUGAUGAAGGUCUUCGGAUUGUAAAGUUCUUUUCUAAGGGAAGAAGAAAGUGACGGUACCUUAGGAAUAAGCCUCGGCUAACUACGUGCCAGCAGCCGCGGUAAUACGUAGGAGGCGAGCGUUAUCCGGAAUGACUGGGCGUAAAGGGUGCGUAGGUGGUUUGGCAAGUUAGUAGCGUAACUCCAAGGCUCAACCUUGGAACUACUACUAAAACUGUUGGACUUGAGUGCAGGAGGGGCAACCGGAAUUCCUGGUGUAGCGGUGGAAUGCGUAGAUAUUAGGAGGAACACCAGUGGCGAAGGCGGGUUGCUGGACUGUAACUGACACUGAGGCACGAAAGCGUGGGGAGCAAACAGGAUUAGAUACCCGAGUAGUC
rnacentral:rRNA from 1 species